GCCCCCGUAGCUCAGUGGAUAGAGCGCAGGCCUCCGAAGCCUGAAGCAGGCGUUCGAGUCGCCUCGGGGGUACCA
rnacentral:tRNA from 1 species